GGCUCAGGAUGAACGCUAGCGGCAGGCUUAAUACAUGCAAGUCGUGGGGCAGCAUGAGUAGCAAUACUUGAUGGCGACCGGCAAACGGGUGAGGAACACGUACACAACCUUCCUUCAAGCGGGGAAUAGCCCAGAGAAAUUUGGAUUAAUACCCCAUAAUAUAUUUGAUAAGGCAUCUUAUUAAUAUUAAAGCUUCGGCACUUGAUGAUGGGUGUGCGGCUGAUUAGAUAGUUGGCGGGGUAACGGCCCACCAAGUCUACGAUCAGUAGCUGAUGUGAGAGCAUGAUCAGCCACACGGGCACUGAGACACGGGCCCGACUCCUACGGGAGGCAGCAGUAAGGAAUAUUGGGCAAUGGACGAAAGUCUGAUCCAGCCAUGCCGCGUGAAGGAUUAAGGUCCUCCGGAUUGUAAACUUCUUUUAUAUGGGACGAAAAAAGGGCAUUCUUGUUCACUUGACGGUACCAUAUGAAUAAGCACCGGCUAACUCCGUG
rnacentral:rRNA from 1 species